rnacentral:rRNA from 1 species
GUCCACGCCGUAAACGAUGGAUACUAGCUGUUGGGAGCAAUCUCAGUGGCUAAGCGAAAGUGAUAAGUAUCCCACCUGGGGAGUACGUUCGCAAGAAUGAAACUCAAAGGAAUUGACGGGGCCCGGCCACAAGCGGUGGAGCAUGUGGUUUAAUUUCGAUGAUACGCGAGGAACCUUACCAAGGCUUAAAUAGUAGUUUGUACCGAUUUGGUAAACAAGAUCUUUCGUCAAGACAAAUUAACAAGGUGCUGCAUGGUUGUCGU